AUAGCCAACUGUGAACUAGGAAGCCAGCCCUCACCAGACAGAAAAUCUGUCAGUGCUCUGAUCUUGGACUUCCCAGACUCCAGAACUUGAAGGUUUCUUGGUCCACAUCUUGGAUUCUAAAAUCAGAGAAGCUAAUUCAGAUGUGUGAUGAGGAGGACUCUCAUGGAUGGGGUUUGGGGACAGACAGAAAGAAUGACAACAUUUCCACAGAAUAAGAAAGAGAAAGAGGGAAGACUAACGAAAACACGUCUACUAAACAAAUACGGCUUUGUUCCAGCACAGCGCCAAGUAUAACUUUACCUACAAAAUGAUUUUAAAAUGCACUUGACAAGAGGGUUUAUUAUGUCAUUAAUGUGCUUCCAGGCCUGUUUUAUUUUUGCUGUUGGCAAUUGCCAUAGCAACUUUAGAAGUUCAGAACUUCCUGGUGCUUCCUUUCUGUACAGAGAGUUCUUUCUUGUAUGUACUGAGUAAUGAAUGGCAAAGUGAAGAAAGGAUGAAAUGAAUACAUAAGGGAAUGAAAGAACGACCAAAACAGCAAUAUUCACCUUAUCUGGUUCCUCUGCUGGCACUAGUAAACUAGUCAUAAUGUUCUAACGCAUGGUUUCCUAAGGAAAAAUUCUAUAAAAGCCUCGAUCGCCAGGUGGUGUAAAAUAAAUUUUGAAAUGAU